rnacentral:rRNA from 1 species
GACGAACGCUGGCGGCGUGCCUAACACAUGCAAGUGGAGCGACGAACCAGGGCUUGCCCUGGGGCCAAGCCGCGAACGGGUGAGUAUCACGUGGGUAACCUGCCCCGAUGACUGGGACAACCCGAGGAAACUCGGGCUAAUACCGGAUGUGGUGAACACACAUAAGUGAGUUCACUAAAGGAAGCUUCGGCCUCCGCAUUGGGAUGGGCCCGCGGCCCAUUAGCUUGUUGGUGGGGUAAUGGCCUACCAAGGCAACGAUGGGUAGCUGGUCUGAGAGGACGAUCAGCCACACUGGGACUGAGACACGGCCCAGACUCCUACGGGAGGCAGCAGUGGGGAAUCUUGCGCAAUGCGCGAAAGCGUGACGCAGCAACGCCGCGUGAGGGAAGACGGCCUUCGGGUUGUAAACCUCUUUCAGGAGGGACGAAGGUCCGCCCGCGAAUAGCGAGGCGGAUUGACGGUACCUCCAGAAGAAGCCCCGGCUAACUACGUGCCAGCAGCCGCCGUAACAC